rnacentral:lncRNA from 1 species
ACUCGUAAUUCCCUUCCUCUCAUACGGCGAUUUACGGCAAGAGACCACAGCCUUCACUCGUCGCUUAUUUCCGACAAGAAACAGAACACAACCAUGAUUUGUUGUUCGUUUUGGGGCUAUUAGGGUUCGUCCAGCAAGUCCAGUGAGUUCAAUUGUAAGACGGCGACAACGGUGGCGGCCACGGUUCCUUUGGCCUCCAGUCUCUUCGUAUCAGGCACAUCUCUCUCUUUAGGCGUCAAUUUCAUUUUGUAUGAGCUAAUCUGCAUCAGUUAUUCGUUGUUUAUAUGUAUUCUGUAUCAGUCGUAGCAGUUUAUUCGGCUUAAAUAGUGCAUGGUUUUACAAAUAUAAACGAAUGAAACGCCUUAUAAAUUUGCAUACUGUUGAUUUAUUACACAGAUGAGCUUGCUAUACGAUUCUAGAUACGAAUGAAUUGUUAUGAUUUGGAAAUUGUGUUUCCCAAUUUUUUUUUUAUUUUUAGGUAUUUUUCAGUGAGUUUAGUAUGUAGAUAUGUUUUUUAGGAAUUUGUAUUUAAUUUUUUAGGAACCGGAACUACCCACCGGAACCGGAACUACCCCUCACACUUUUUUUUGUAUUUCCCUUGUAACUGUAAGCUGUUUAUUAACCUCGUACGCUAAGAUUUUGGUUUGGAGAGUUACAAGUUUAUUGUUCAUAAACUUUAACCGGGUGACGAUGAAUCCCAACAUUUGACAUUUGCUUGGUUUAAAAAAGCGAGCUUAAAGCCUGAGGCAAUGAAGCGCUAGGGAUGUCGCUUUUUUUGCUCUGAGGCGACAAAUCAUGUGAAGCGUUUUGAAGCGCGCUUUAAGCCCGAAGCGACGCUUCAGCCCAAUCAGAUGCAGCGUCUAAUAGAACUCUAAGUAUGUUUGGAACGAUAUCUUUCCAAUAAAGGUUAGUAGAAUGCCGCCCCCAUUCAUUGUCGUUCUCGUAUGUUACAUUUUGAACAACACAGAGUUGCUUGGCAAAGGAAUGUGAAGAUGGAGGUUGCUGAUAGCCUGAUACUACUUGGAAGCUAGAUGAAGCUGGAUUUUUGAAGACAGUAGAUCUGUUUUUGUGUAGUGUAUAACUGUAGAUUUUGCUUUUGUAUUGUUUUAUACUUUUAUGUAUGGUUUAAGGCUUAGAGUUCAUGUU